ensembl:lncRNA
CACUCUAAGGCGCAUCCCUCUGGUAUCAUCUGGUAUUUAAUUUUCUGCAGAAAGAGCUAUGCUGUACUGAUUUCAUGGAAAACACAGAGCAUUACCCAGCACCAUGCCUUGGUGGAGAGAGAGUGAAGUGGGCUUCUUCUCUGGCAUGAAGAAUGUUGGCGAACAAUGCGGCACAGAUAAUGGAACUGCCAGCCGAGCCCCUCCUGCUCCUCCCUCCAGACAAUGUGUGUCACACCGAAACAGAAAUAAUAAAAAACGCCUAGACCUCUGAGCACAUCAAAGAUAAGACUUCUGUGUUUUUGUUUCCGACAGAUUUUAU